rnacentral:rRNA from 1 species
UACGUAGGGUGCGAGCGUUGUCCGGAAUUAUUGGGCGUAAAGAGCUCGUAGGCGGUUUGUCGCGUCUGCUGUGAAAACCUAGGGCUUAACCCUGGGCCUGCAGUGGGUACGGGCAGACUAGAGUGCGGUAGGGGAGACUGGAAUUCCUGGUGUAGCGGUGAAAUGCGCAGAUAUCAGGAGGAACACCGGUGGCGAAGGCGGGUCUCUGGGCCGUAACUGACGCUGAGGAGCGAAAGCUAGGGGAGCAAACGGG